rnacentral:tRNA from 1 species
GCCUGGCUGGCUCAGUUGGAAGAGCAUGUGAUUCUUGAUCUCAAGAUUGUGAAUUCAAGCCCCAUGUUAGGUG